UCCCAAAGAAACAUCCAAAGGAAAGGAGCAAAAUGUAUCAUAUUUUCAUCAAUAUGCUUAAGGAUCAUUGUUUCUUGAAAAGAAUUAGGUACAAGAGGAAGCAAACAUUAAGUAAUGAUUCAAUGAGGUAUUUGCAUGACAUUCAAUGCAAAAUGAAACAAAUGUUAAGUAAGGUUCAAUUGGGCAUUUGAGCAUAAUCAAACGCAAGAUGAAGCCAAGUUGAGCAAAGAUUCUAUUUUUCUGCAUGUUCCUUUGGCUCUUCAAAAUUGCAAAGAAAUUCAGCUUUUAGUUCAAGUAGCAAAGAUUUCUUAGAGAGCUUGUUUAGGCCAUCUUCCUUGAGGGCAAGGAAGUUUGAGGGGGAGGUAUUGCUAUGUGUAUAAUGUUGAUUAAUGUGAUUAUUAAGUUGUUAGAGUAGUUAUAGAGUUGUUAAACAUUUAGAGAGACAGAGCAUAACUGAUUGUAAUGUCUAUAUG
rnacentral:misc_RNA from 1 species